rnacentral:rRNA from 1 species
AGCAUGAACUUAGCUUGCUAAGUUUGAUGGCGACCGGCGCACCGGUGAGUAACACGUAUCCAACCUGCCGAUGACUCGGGGAUAGCCUUUCGAAAGAAAGAUUAAUACCCGAUGGCAUAGUUCUUCCGCAUGGUAGGACUAUUAAAGAAUUUCGGUCAUCGAUGGGGAUGCGUUCCAUUAGCUUGUUGGCGGGGUAACGGCCCACCAAGGCAUCGAUGGAUAGGGGUUCUGAGAGGAAGGUCCCCCACAUUGGAACUGAGACACGGUCCAAACUCCUACGGGAGGCAGCAGUGAGGAAUAUUGGUCAAUGGGCGCUAGCCUGAACCAGCCAAGUGGCGUGAAGGAUGACUGCCCUAUGGGUUGUAAACUUCUUUUAUAUGGGAAUAAAGUGCAGUAUGUAUACUGCUUUGCAUGUACCUUAUGAAUAAGGAUCGGCUAACUCCGUGCCAGCAGCCGCGGUAAUACGGAGGAUCCGAGCGUUAUCCGGAUUUAUUGGGUUUAAAGGGAGCGUAGGCGGGUUGUUAAGUCAGUUGUGAAAGUUUGCGGCUCAACCGUAAAAUUGCAGUUGAUACUGGCAUCCUUGAGUACAGUAGAGGUAGGCGGAAUUCGUGGUGUAGCGGUGAAAUGCUUAGAUAUCACGAAGAACUCCGAUUGCGAAGGCAGCCUGCUGGACUGUAACUGACGCUGAUGCUCGAAAGUGUGGGUAUCAAACA